rnacentral:rRNA from 1 species
UUACAAUGCACGAAAGUGUGAUAAGGGAAUCCUAAGUGCUCAGGCAUUGCCUGGGCUUUUGCCAUAUGUAAAUAGUAUGGCGAAUAAGUGGUGGGCAAGACUGGUGCCAGCCGCCGCGGUAACACCAGCGCCACGAGUGGCAAUCACGUUUAUUGGGCCUAAAGCGUCCGUAGCAGGUUUUGUAAAUUUCUUGUGAAACUGCCAGGCUUAACUUGGCAAUGUGCAGGAAACACUGCAAGACUUGAGACAGGGAAGGGUCAGAGGGAUUCCUGAGGGAGCGGUAAAAUGCUAUAAUCUCAGGAGGACCACCGGUGGCGAAGGCGUCUGACUAGAACUGAUCUGACUGUGAGGGACGAAAGCUAGGGGAGCAAACCGG